UUUCUAUAGUAAUUAUUCACUCAUAUCACUCAUCACUCAAAUCACGCAUACUGUAUAUGUAAUUAACACUCACCACAUACUACUGAUUAUUGUCAAUUAAAGGCUCUGUUUUAUAAUUAAUUUUAGUGUCUAUAGUAAUUGCUAUUUUUUUAUAGUUUUACGUGUACAUUUGACUUUUGAGCAAUCUUUCUAGUAAUUACAUGCAAUGAUAUUAUUUAAUUGGAAGUAUAAUAUUGGUAAGUAGAAAUUGCUAUUUUAGUAGGUGGUAAAUAGUUUUACAUGUACUCUUGAUUUUUCAUGUACCGUCUAUCUGGAAUUUUUUUACGACUUAAAUUUUGCUACAUUUAGAAAUUUGACCAAUGGAAAAAUGAAAUCAGGCAAUGCACAAUUUUUUGAGGCAUAAAAUCAUUAAAGCAUAAAAUUCCAGAUAUCACAGUACUAUAGUUAUAUUUUUAACAGCAUGCAAUGAUAUUUUAAUUGUAAGUAGACAUUUGUAGGUAGAAAUGAUGAUAAUCCACAAGCUAUCAUGUGAUGUCAAGAAUCAUUCCCCCACAGAAAAGCAGUUGAUACACAGGAACCAGAUGACAUUAAUGCCAGUAGAUUGAAGAAUAGCCACACAAUGAGUGGGAAUAAACUGUGGCAAAACAGUUGCAAGUGUACAGUGACAGCCUUGUUAACCAAGAAAAUAAAUGUGACAGGAAGUGAUCCAACGAUGAAAGCAAUGAUUGAGAGUGAGUGAGAGUGAGGUGAGAUAAACAGCAAAUAGAGUGAUGAUACAGCUACCAGUAGAGAGAUACACACCAACGAAUGCUUCACAAACUAUCAGAGUUGAUCAUCAUCAGAAUAAUGAACAAAUUAACAUGAGCUGCUACAAGUUGAAGAAUAUCUCCUCCUCCUCCAUGAAUAGACAUCACUUUGAAACUGCAAGUCUUCUGCCAAACUUUGAUCUUUCUCUCUUUCUCUCAAUCCUCAAUGAUAGCUAUAUGUUAUUAAAUUUUUUUUAGUUUAGUUUUUUACAAGUUUUACAGGUACUUUUAA